GGAAGUGAUACCUCCCAAGUCUAUGAACUCCGCAGGCGAGUAAGCAGGCUUAAGCAAGCUGGUGGUUCGCUAGAAAUUUUUUAUAAUGAAUUGCAGGGCCUUUGGCGAGAAAUUGAUUUUCGCUGUCCAGAUCCCAUUGAGUGCCCAAUUGAUGUGAAACAUUAUAAAUCCAUCCUUCAAGAAGACAGGGUGUAUGUUUUCUUACACGGACUUGAUGGCCUCCUGGAACAUAUUCGGAGUAGAGUAUUACAGAUGAAACCUUUUUCCUAUAGUAGAGCAAGCACAUGCCUAUGUCCAAAGAGUAGCGGUUCAACAAGCUGUGAUGAUAAGAGUCUGGAGGCACAGAGGACAUAUCUAGAGCAGUCUUGGCGUCCAAAAGCUUCAAGAAUGGCUCGAGUUCAGCCUCUAAUGUUGGGCCUUUGUCUUUGAACAGCAACAGGUCAAAUGCUAGUUCUCAUCAAAGGCAAAGAUCGAUACAGAGGGGACCAAAUGCUCUCAUUGUGGGAACACCAAUCACACACAUAACACGUGCUUUAAAUUAAACGGAUAUCCAAAUUGGUGGCAUGAUCUUCAAGCCAAGAAGAGGGGUGAUGGAGCCACUAAUGAUGCUAAUACUGGUAAGGAUGUUGCUGUAGUAGAACCGCACUCGUCCCUCAUUUCGACCGAACCUCCCACCUCCACUUCAGGUAUGGCCUUGCUCGGGUUUAAUAACAGUAAUGAUUGCAAUACAUGGAUUCUUGAUUCCGGAGCAACUAACCAUAUAACAUUUGAUGUACGAGAUUUUUGUCAACAUACUCCUCCUUGGCGGGCUAGUAUUGCCAAUGCCAAUGGAGGUAUCUCUUCGGUAGAAGGGACUAUCAUUAUAAUGUUAUUACCAACUUUAUCACUAUCUAAUACCUUACUUGUGCCUUCCCUUUCUCAUAAGUUGAUUUAUUUCAGUCAAAUUACUAAAGAGCUCAAUUGUACUGUACUUAUUCACUCGGAAUAUUGUCUUAUUCAAGAUAUUAUCUCGAAUGAGAUAAUUGAGCGUGGUACUAAGAGGGGGGACUCUAUUAUAUGGAUGAUUUCAACGUGGAUUGAGUACAUCAUGUUGGUUAACUGAGUGAUAGCAAGGCAAAAUAGAUUUGGCUUUGGCACCGUCGGCUAAGUCAUCCUUCGUUUGGUUAUUUGCAACAUUUGUUUCCUGACUUAUUUUCGGAAUUGUCUAUUUCGGAUUUAAGUGUGAAACUUGUAUUUUAGCUAAAAGUCAUCGAGUAUCCUAUCCAUUACAUAUGAAUAAGAGUGAAGUUCUAUUCGCAUUAGUUCACUCUAAUGUGUGGGAGGCCUUUCCCAAAACCUAAUUUGUCUGGUUUCCUUUAGUUUGUGAUUUUUGUUGAUGACUGUUCUCGAAUGACUUAGCUAUAUCUAUUGAAACAGAAAAAUGAGAUCUUUAUUACUUUUCAAUCUUUUCAUGAUAUGAUUCGGACUCAGUACUCAGCUAAGCUUUAGAUCCUUAAGUCGGAUAAUGGUGGUGAGUAUGUAAAUCAUAAAUUUUAUGAGUGCUUUCAUUAUCACAGAUUGAUUCACGAAACAUCAUGUCCUUAGACACCUCAGAAAAGUGGUAUAGCAGAGCGAAAAAAUCGCCACAUUCUUGAAACGGCUAGAGCAUUUCUACUUGGGGCACACGUUCCAAGUUCUUACUAGUCAAAUGUGAUGACUACCACUGUGCACCUAAUCAAUGGAAUGCCAUCCAAAGUACUCAAGUUCAAGACUCCAUUGCAAACUCUGUCGACAUAUGUUGCCU
rnacentral:lncRNA from 1 species